AUUGAACGCUAGCGGGAUGCUUUACACAUGCAAAUCGAACGAGCGGCGGACGGGUGAGUAAUGUAUGGGGACUGCCCGAUAGAGGGGGAUAACUACUGGAAACGGUAGCUAAUACCGCAUACUAUCGGAUAACCCAUAUGGGAUUAGCUAGUAGGUGUGGUAAUGGCUCACCUAGGCGACGAUCCCUAGCUGGUCUGAGAGGAUGAUCAGCCACACUGGUACUGAGACACAGCCCAGACUCCUACGGAGGCAGCAGUGGGGAAUAUUGCACAAUGGGCGCAAGCCUGAUGCAGCCAUGCCGCGUGUAUGAAGAAGGCCUUAGGGUUGUAAAGUACUUUCAGUCGGGAGGCGUUACCGACAGAAGAAGCACCGGCUAACUCCGUGCCAGCAGCCGCGGUAAUUG
rnacentral:rRNA from 1 species